GGGCAGGGGGAUGUGUUCCUGACCGCCUGCACCGGGAUGCCAAAGCAAAGACUACAAGAGGUGAUGAAGAGAGAGAUGAGACGCAGCUGCAAGAAGGUGUCAUGGCGGUCUUAUCUCCAAAUAAAGACGCCGAGGAAAGUGUACAUCACAGGAGAUGUCACUGGAUGGAUGAGAUAAAUUUCACAAACAUUGGUUUCAAUCACAUGACAAAAAACUGGCGCACAUUGUAAAACCAAUAAGACCAAUGGGCUUGAAAACCCAAUAACUGCAUAGCAUGGUGCAGCACUCUGUUGUAUCUUCACAGUUUGUGAUCAGACAUUUUUCGGG